UGGGGAAUAUUGCACAAUGGAGGGAACUCUGAUGCAGCGACGCCGCGUGAACGAAGAAGGCUUUCGAGUCGUAAAGUUCUUUUAUAUGGGAAGAUAAUGACGGUACCAUAAGAAGAAGCCCCGGCUAACUACGUGCCAGCAGCCGCGGUAAUACGUAGGGGGCUAGCGUUGUCCGGAAUCACUGGGCGUAAAGGGUUCGCAGGCGGAAAUGCAAGGCAGGUGUAAAAGGCAGUAGCUUAACUACUGUAAGCAUUUGAAACUGCAUAUCUUGAGAAGAGUAGAGGUAAGUGGAAUUUUUAGUGUAGCGGUGAAAUGCGUAGAUAUUAAAAAGAAUACCGGUGGCGAAGGCGACUUACUGGGCUCAUUCUGACGCUGAGGAACGAAAGCGUGGGUAGCAAACAGGA
rnacentral:rRNA from 1 species